GCCGAGGCUGCAGCCGAACCGCAAGCUUGAAGAAUGCCAGCAGGGGGCGUGGCAUGCACGGGUAGGGGGAGCUGCUUCCGGGUGAGCCGCCCCGCCCCCACGUGGGCCGGGGAGACAGACCCGAGCGGGCGGGUGACAAAACUGGAGUAGAGACGGCUAGAGAAGCGGCACGGAGCGGUUAGAGAAGCAGGAGAGCUAAGCACACGGUGGUACCCCAGCAACCUGUCUUCCGGCCAGCAGACUGUCCUGAGCCCCACCAUGCAGCCCCAGUCAGUUCUGCACAGCGGAUACUUCCACCCUCUGCUUCGGACCUGGCAGGCAGCCACUACCACCCUCAGUGCCUCCAACCUCAUCUACCCCAUCUUUGUCACGGAUGUUCCUGAUGACGUCCAGCCGAUCGCCAGCCUGCCAGGAGUAGCCAGGUACGGUGUAAACCGGUUGGAAGAGAUGCUGAGACCCCUGGUAGAAGAUGGGCUGCGUUGUGUCCUCGUCUUUGGGGUCCCCAGCAGAGUUCCCAAGGAUGAGCGGGGCUCUGCAGCUGACUCUGAGGAGUCUCCAGCCAUCGAGGCCAUCCAUGUGUUAAGGAAAACUUUCCCCAGCCUUUUGGUAGCCUGUGACGUCUGCUUGUGCCCCUACACCUCCCAUGGUCACUGUGGACUGUUGGGUGAGAAUGGAUCAUUCCAGGCCGAGGAGAGCCGCCAGCGGCUGGCAGAGGUGGCACUGGCCUAUGCCAAGGCUGGAUGUCAGGUAGUAGCCCCGUCGGACAUGAUGGAUGGACGCGUGGGAGCCAUCAAGGAGGCCCUGAUGGCACAUGGAUUUGGCAACAGGGUAUCAGUGAUGAGCUAUAGCGCCAAAUUUGCUUCCUGUUUCUAUGGGCCUUUCCGGGAUGCAGCUCAGUCAAGCCCAGCUUUUGGAGACCGCCGCUGCUACCAGCUGCCUCCUGGAGCCCGGGGCCUGGCACUCCGUGCAGUGGAUCGGGAUGUGCGGGAAGGAGCCGACAUGCUGAUGGUGAAGCCAGGAAUGCCCUACCUGGACAUCGUGCGGGAGGUGAAGGACAAGCACCGUGAGCUCCCCCUUGCUGUGUACCACGUGUCUGGAGAAUUUGCCAUGCUGUGGCACGGGGCCCAGGCCGGGGCGUUUGAUCUCAAGGCUGCUGUACUGGAGGCCAUGACUGCCUUCCGCAGAGCAGGUGCUGAUAUCAUCAUCACCUACUAUACGCCCCAGCUGCUGCAGUGGCUGAAGGAGGAAUGAUGGAGAGAGGCUGCAGGACCCAAGAACCAGAACCUGAGAAAGUUCCCAAGGCCUUGGUGAAGCAAAAACCAAAUGUGACCUUCUGAACUCUGACAAGAAUCUCACAUCAAGCUGAGCUUCCAGAAUUUUAGGGCUGCUUCUUUGGCAAGCAUCUCUAAAACUUUCUAAAUUCUUCCUACAAGUCAGUUCCAAAGGCUAUGAACCACAUGGGUGGGUAGCAUCAACCCUGUUUCUCUGGUACUAAUACUGUUUUACUGUCUCGCUGGGACAGUGUCCAACACCCACAACUUAAAAGAAAUGUUUAUUUUGGGUUACAGUUUGUAAAGGUUUUAGCCUGUAGCUGGCUUCAAGGCAGCACAACAUGGUAGAGGAGAAACAACUCAUGACUUCAAGAUGGGAAGCAGCAAUCAAGGGAAGAAAGGAGAUAACACCCUUCGGGCCACACCCCUGCUCACACACACAGUGACCUAUGUCCAGCUAGGCUUUAUCUCCCAAUACCACAUUUAGCUAUAAAACCAUCAGUGAACUAAUCCACUGAUGGGUAUCACAUUCCAAUAAUCCAAUCACCUGCAAGAAGCUUCACCUAUAAGCAUAUGAAGUUUUGGGUGACAUCUAGAUACAAACUUUAUAUCUUAUAAAACAGUGGCCUUUAUCAGACCUGUGGGCAACUCACCUUGAGACCUGGUAGCAUCCUGUUCUCAGACUUCUGGGAGAUGACCAGCCAAAAUAGGGUUUGAAGAGGCACAAAACCUCACAACCUAGAGAGCUCAAGCCUAGAUCUACCACCUACGGGCUAAACCAGUAUGUGAAUAUAAGUCAUUUCUGGGCCAGAGAUAAACCAGACCAUAAAUUUCAGCUGCUGUACUUUCUAGCCCUUUUCACUCCUGAGAUUAUUUCUUGCUAAAAUGAUUGAUGUAAACCUGGCUAUGGUGGUGCACACCUGUAAUCCAAGCAUUCAAGAGAGUGAGGCAGGAAGAUUGCUGAGUCUGAGACCAGCCUGAAGUACAUAACAAGACCCUGUCUCAAUCAAAAUGAUCAGUGUAAAAAAAUUUUUUUCUAGGCCAGUGAUGGUGAGCCUAUAGCAUACAUGUUUUUUCUCUUAAGAUAAAGGAUGUUAACGUUUGAGUUAUUUUUGUAAACUAAAACCUCACUAUUCAGGUUUAAUUGAGUGUUGACACUUGUAAUAAGUGGGCUUUGGGUUGUACUUUGGGGCCCUCAUCUCUUAAAAUGUUCACCAUCAAUGUUUUAGGCCAGCCUAGGUCUAUCAUUGCCAAGCAAGUAUAGAUGCUGGCUGUGUUUUAGGCACCCGAGUAGGAGACAAACAGAAACAAAGGAUGCAAACAAAUAUGUCCAUCUACACCUUCCUGAGUCAUCUCAAGAUUGUACUCAAGGUCUAGAUACUUCUAAGCAUAAGAUUAUCUACACCCUCUUGAGUGUGAGUCUUUGGUGAAUUGUGAUCUUUACUAGCCCCACCUACUCACUAUACACGGAAUAAAGAGUGGCUGCUUUGGGAUGGGCGGGGGUCGUCAGAUUGAGAGACAUUGACUUCCCAGCCAUUGGUGGAAUAUUAUCCUUGUCUCUAUUUUUUAUUUUUCUUUUUCGUUUUUUUUUUUAAUCGGUACCAGGGAUCGAACUCACGACUGCCUACUUGCAAGGCAGGCACUUAUGCCUCUGAGCUAAAUCCUCAGCCCCUAUUUUUUAUUUUUUUUUCCACAUUCUUGAGACUGACAAUCAGGGCUCUUUGCUGGGUUCCUGAUACAGAUGAGCACUUUUGGUGGCCAGGACUGAAGUGGUAACGGGGGACAGAAAGAAGGAAACGGAUUUAGAAUGUGUUUGGUAGGUAAUAAAUAGAUGUGAGUGAUGAACUGGG